AUUGAACGCUGGCGGCAGGCCUAACACAUGCAAGUCGAGCGGUAACAGUCCUUCGGGAGCUGACGAGCGGCGGACGGGUGAGUAACGCGUAGGAAUCUACCCAGUAGAGGGGGAUAGCCCGGGGAAACUCGGAUUAAUACCGCAUAAACUCUAUGGAGCAAAGGGGGCUUCGGCUCUCGCUACUGGAUGAGCCUGCGUGGGAUUAGCUAGUUGGUGAGGUAAUGGCUCACCAAGGCGACGAUCUCUAACUGGUCUGAGAGGAUGAUCAGUCACACUGGAACUGAGACACGGUCCAGACUCCUACGGGAGGCAGCAGUGGGGAAUAUUGCACAAUGGGCGAAAGCCUGAUGCAGCCAUGCCGCGUGUGUGAAGAAGGCCUUAGGGUUGUAAAGCACUUUCAGUAGGGAGGAAUUAGUAGGGUUAAUAACCUUAUGAAAUGACGUUACCUACAGAAGAAGUACCGGCUAACUCCGUGCCAGCAGCCGCGGU
rnacentral:rRNA from 1 species